GAUUAAGUUAUUAAGGGCGCACGGUGGAUGCCUUGGCACUAGAAGCCGAUGAAGGACGUUACUAACGACGAUAUGCUUUGGGGAGCUGUAAGUAAGCUUUGAUCCAGAGAUUUCCGAAUGGGGAAACCCAGCAUGAGUUAUGUCAUGUUAUCGAUAUGUGAAUACAUAGCAUAUCAGAAGGCACACCCGGAGAACUGAAACAUCUUAGUACCCGGAGGAAGAGAAAGAAAAUUCGAUUCCCUUAGUAGCGGCGAGCGAAACGGGAAGAGCCCAAACCAACAAGCUUGCUUGUUGGGGUUGUAGGACACUCUAUACGGAGUUACAAAGGACGACAUUAGACGAAUCAUCUGGAAAGAUGAAUCAAAGAAGGUAAUAAUCCUGUAGUCGAAAAUGUUGUCUCUCUUGAGUGGAUCCUGAGUACGACGGAGCACGUGAAAUUCCGUCGGAAUCUGGGAGGACCAUCUCCUAAGGCUAAAUACUCUCUAGUGACCGAUAGUGAACCAGUACCGUGAGGGAAAGGUGAAAAGCACCCCGGAAGGGGAGUGAAAUAGAACCUGAAACCGUGUGCUUACAAGUAGUCAGAGCCCGUUAAUGGGUGAUGGCGUGCCUUUUGUAGAAUGAACCGGCGAGUUACGAUUUGAUGCAAGGUUAAGCAGUAAAUGUGGAGCCGUAGCGAAAGCGAGUCUGAAUAGGGCGUUUAGUAUUUGGUCGUAGACCCGAAACCAGGUGAUCUACCCUUGGUCAGGGUGAAGUUCAGGUAACACUGAAUGGAGGCCCGAACCCACGCACGUUGAAAAGUGCGGGGAUGAGGUGUGGGUAGCGGAGAAAUUCCAAUCGAACCUGGAGAUAGCUGGUUCUCCCCGAAAUAGCUUUAGGGCUAGCCUUAAGUGAAGAGUCUUGGAGGUAGAGCACUGAUUGGACUAGGGGUCCUCAUCGGAUUACCGAAUUCAGUCAAACUCCGAAUGCCAAUGACUUAUCCUUAGGAGUCAGACUGCGAGUGAUAAGAUCCGUAGUCAAAAGGGAAACAGCCCAGACCGCCAGCUAAGGUCCCAAAGUGUGUAUUAAGUGGAAAAGGAUGUGGAGUUGCUUAGACAACUAGGAUGUUGGCUUAGAAGCAGCCACCAUUUAAAGAGUGCGUAAUAGCUCACUAGUCGAGUGACACUGCGCCGAAAAUGUACCGGGGCUAAAUACACCACCGAAGCUGCGGAUUGACCAAUGGUCAGUGGUAGGGGAGCGUUCUAAGGACAGUGAAGUCAGACCGGAAGGACAGGUGGAGCGCUUAGAAGUGAGAAUGCCGGUGUGAGUAGCGAAAGACGGGUGAGAAUCCCGUCCACCGAUUGACUAAGGUUUCCAGAGGAAGGCUCGUCCGCUCUGGGUUAGUCGGGUCCUAAGCUGAGGCCGACAGGCGUAGGCGAUGGAUAACAGGUUGAUAUUCCUCGUUUUAAUCGAUGGGGGGACGCAGUAGGAUAGGCGAAGCGUGCGAUUGGAUUGCACGUCUAAGCAGUAAGGCUGAGUAUUAGGCAAAUCCGGUACUCGUUAAGGCUGAGCUGUGAUGGGGAGAAGACAUUGUGUCUUCGAGUCGUUGAUUUCACACUGCCGAGAAAAGCCUCUAGAUAGAAAAUAGGUGCCCGUACCGCAAACCGACACAGGUAGUCAAGAUGAGAAUUCUAAGGUGAGCGAGCGAACUCUCGUUAAGGAACUCGGCAAAAUGACCCCGUAACUUCGGGAGAAGGGGUGCUCUUUAGGGUUAACGCCCAGAAGAGCCGCAGUGAAUAGGCCCAAGCGACUGUUUAUCAAAAACACAGGUCUCUGCUAAACCGUAAGGUGAUGUAUAGGGGCUGACGCCUGCCCGGUGCUGGAAGGUUAAGAGGAGUGGUUAGCUUCUGCGAAGCUACGAAUCGAAGCCCCAGUAAACGGCGGCCGUAACUAUAACGGUCCUAAGGUAGCGAAAUUCCUUGUCGGGUAAGUUCCGACCCGCACGAAAGGCGUAACGAUUUGGGCACUGUCUCAACGAGAGACUCGGUGAAAUCAUAGUACCUGUGAAGAUGCAGGUUACCCGCGACAGGACGGAAAGACCCCGUGGAGCUUUACUGUAGCCUGAUAUUGAAAUUCGGCACAGCUUGUACAGGAUAGGUAGGAGCCUUUGAAACCGGAGCGCUAGCUUCGGUGGAGGCGCUGGUGGGAUACCGCCCUGACUGGAUUGAAAUUCGAACCUACGGGUCUUAUCGACCCGGGAGACAGUGUCAGGCGGGCAGUUUGACUGGGGCGGUCGCCUCCUAAAAGGUAACGGAGGCGCUCAAAGGUUCCCUCAGAAUGGUUGGAAAUCAUUCAUAGAGUGUAAAGGCAUAAGGGAGCUUGACUGCGAGACCUACAAGUCGAGCAGGGUCGAAAGACGGACUUAGUGAUCCGGUGGUUCCGCAUGGAAGGGCCAUCGCUCAACGGAUAAAAGCUACCCCGGGGAUAACAGGCUUAUCUCCCCCAAGAGUCCACAUCGACGGGGAGGUUUGGCACCUCGAUGUCGGCUCAUCGCAUCCUGGGGCUGUAGUCGGUCCCAAGGGUUGGGCUGUUCGCCCAUUAAAGCGGUACGCGAGCUGGGUUCAGAACGUCGUGAGACAGUUCGGUCCCUAUCCGUCGUGGGGUAGGAAAUUUGAGAGGAGCUGUCCUUAGUACGAGAGGACCGGGAUGGACGCACCGCUGGUGUACCAGUUGUUCUGCCAAGGGCAUAGCUGGGUAGCUAUGUGCGGAAGGGAUAAGUGCUGAAAGCAUCUAAGCAUGAAGCCCCCCUCAAGAUGAGAUUUCCCAGCGUAAGCUAUAAGAUCCCUGAAAGAUGAUCAGGUUGAUAGGUUCGAGGUGGAAGCAUGGUGACAUGUGGAGCUGACGAAUACUAAUCGAUCGAAGACUUAAUCAA
rnacentral:rRNA from 1 species